UGGGGGGCACUAAAGGCGACAUGGGAGCUUACAGAGAGCUGUGGGCCUGAGCCCCCCCGACUGCCCGGCAAAAUAACAGUGCUAAGGAGGCACAAGCAAUUCUGCAGAACUGAUCUAGAUAGAACAGAAAAUUAGGUGCAUUAUGGUGGGGAAAGAAGAGAGUUACCAGCAGUCCUGUGAGGACAUGACAGACACUAUUACAACAAAGGCCCUGGGAUAAUGUGUAUGAAGAGGAACACAAAAUCAGCAAAAUAGGGUUCAGCAAGAUCACCUUAAAUGCUUACAAACAACUGAUCUUCCAUGCAGAAGCAAGGAGUGCCUACAGGGCACUGUGAUGGGAAAACCCAGCAGGACACCAGUGUGCCCCUCGGGAGUGCCUGCACACAUGCAUGCAGCAUUGGCAAUAACCAUGAGGAGCUAGAGAUCUGCCUGCCAUCACAGGCCAUGACCUUUUUGGGAUCACAGAGACAUGGUGGAAUGGCUGUCAUGGCUGGAGUGCUUCAACAGAGGAACACAAGCUCUUAGGAAGGACAGGCUUAGAAGGCAAGAAGAAGUUGCCCUUUGUGACAGAACAGCUUGUGUGCAUGGAGCUGUGCCUGGGGAUGGAUGAUGAGCCAACUGAGAGCCCAGGAUGUAGUCCAUAGUCCUGGGCAGAGAAUCGGGCAAAAAAGCAUCAUGAAAUAUUUUACUGAGCACUAGAAGAUGUUGUCAAAGAGAGGUUGUGAAAUCUCCAUAUCAAAAAAGAAUAUAUUAAAAAGCCACUUGAGCAUGGUCUUGGACAACAAGUGACAUUGCUUAAGCAUGGGAGUUGGAUGUUUCUUCUAGCCUCAACCAUUUUAUGAUUUUGUGAUCAUACCAAGACUGAAGACAAGUGUUGUCUGGCUAAUCCAAAGGGAGUCUUGGCUUUGGCUUAAUAAAAUAGUCAAAAAUACAUAAAUUACAAA